UACGUAGGGGGCAAGCGUUGUCCGGAAUUAUUGGGCGUAAAGCGCGCGCAGGCGGUCUCUUAAGUCUGAUGUGAAAGCCCACGGCUCAACCGUGGAGGGUCAUUGGAAACUGGUAGACUGGAGUAUAGGAGAGGAAAGUGGAAUUCCACGUGUAGCGGUGAAAUGCGUAGAGAUGUGGAGGAACACCAGUGGCGAAGGCGACUUUCUGGCCUAUUACUGACGCUGAGCCGCGAAAUCGUGGGGAGCGAACAGG
rnacentral:rRNA from 1 species